UGAAACGCUGUGAUGCUAAGGUAGCUGGUUCAACUCCACCUCCAAGCACCUCCUUGUCAUUGGAAAUACCCCCAAGCCUUGUCUUUAUCUGUCAACUCCUCCAAAAUGUCGAAACACAAAAAAGAUAACUCUUUCUUGAAUUUUCAACCAUCAAUUUUUUAUUCACCCAGCCUAAAAGUCCUGAUUAUCAGUUCUGGGUCCCUGGCAAUGACUGUUGGGUACAAACUGCAAAGCUUUGUUCUGCAGGUAGGGCUGGGCUUUUCAUUGACCAUGGGUUGGAAUAGUUCUGUGGGCAUAGUGUGUCGUCGAAGCCACCAUGUUUUCUGCACUUGCGACUAGAGAGCACCUUGAUAGCUCAGUUGGUAGAGCGGUGGACUGUAAGAUGCUCCUUGUGUGAAACGCUGUGAUCCUAAGGUCGCUGGUUCAACUCCAGCUCCAAGCACCUCCUUGUCAUUGGAAAUACCCCCAAGCCUUGUCUUUAUCUGUCAACUCCUCCAAAAUCUCAAAACACAAAGAAGAUAACUCUUUCUUAAAUUUUCAACCAUCAAUGUUUUAUUCACUCAGCCUAAAAGUCCUGAUUAUCAGUUCUGGGUCCCUGGCAAUGACUGUUGGGUACAAACUGCAAAGCUUUGUUCUGCAGGUAGGGCUGGGCUUUUCAUUGACCAUGGGUUGGAAUAGUUCUGUGGGCAUAGUGUGUCUUCGAAGCCACUAUGUUUUCUGCACUUGUGACUAGAGAGCACCUUGAUAGCUCAGUUGGUAGAGCGGUGGACUGUAAGAUGCUCCUUGUGUGAAAGGCCAUGAUCCUAAGGUCGCUGGUUCAACUCCAGCUCCAAGCACCUCCUUGUCAUUGGAAAUACCCCCAAGCCUUGUCUUUAUCUGUCAACUCCUCCAAAAUUUCAAAACACAAACAAGAUAACUCUUUCUUAAAUUUUCAACCAUCAAUUUUUUAUUCACCCAGCCUAAAAGUCCUGAUUAUCAGUUCUGGGUCCCUGGCAAUGACUGUUGGGUACAAACUGCAAAGCUUUGUUCUGCAGGUAGGGCUGGGCUUUUCAUUGACCAUGGGUUGGAAUAGUUCUGUGGGCAUAGUGUGUCUUCGAAGCCACUAUGUUUUCUGCACUUGUGACUAGAGAGCACCUUGAUAGCUCAGUUGGUAGCGUGGUGGACUGUUAGAUGCUCCUUGUGUGAAAUGCUGUGAUCCUAAGGUCCCUGGUUCAACUCCAGCUCCAAGCACCUCCUUGUCAUUGGAAAUACCCCCAAGCCUUGUCUUUAUCUGUCAACUCCUCCAAAAUGUCAAAACACAAAGAAGAUAACUCUUUCUUAAAUUUUCAACCAUCAAUUUUUUAUUCACUCAGCCUAAAAGUCCUGAUUAUCAGUUCUGGGUCCCUGGCAAUGACUGUUGGGUACAAACUGCAAAGCUGUGUUCUGCAGGUAGGGCUGGGCUUUUCAUUGACCAUGGGUUGGAAUAGUUCUGUGGGCAUAGUGUGUCUUCGAAGCCACUAUGUUUUCUGCACUUGUGACUAGAGAGCACCUUGAUAGCUCAGUUGGUAGAGCGGUGGACUGUAAGAUGCUCCUUGUGUGAAAAGCUGUGAUCCUAAGGUCACUGGUUCAACUCCAGCUCCAAGCACCUCCUUGUCAUUGGAAAUACCCCCAACCCUUGUCUUUAUCUGUCAACUCCUCCAAAAUGUCAAAACACAAAGAAUAUAACUCUUUCUUAAAUUUUCAACCAUCAAUUUUUUAUUCACCCAGCCUAAAAGUCCUGAUUAUCAGUUCUGGGUCCCUGGCAAUGACUGUUGGGUACAAACUGCAAAGCUUUGUUCUGCAGGUAGGGCUGGGCUUUUCAUUGACCAUGGGUUGGAAUAGUUCUGUGGGCAUAGUGUGUCUUCGAAGCCACUAUGUUUUCUGCACUUGUGACUAGAGAGCACCUUGAUAGCUCAGUUGGUAGAGCGGUGGACUGUAAGAUGCUCCUUGUGUGAAACGCCGUGAUCCUAAGCUCGCUGGUUCAACUCCAGCUCCAAGCACCUCCUUGUCAUUGGAAAUACCCCCAAGCCUUGUCUUUAUCUGUCAACUCCUCCAAAAUGUCAAAACACAAAGAAGAUAACUCUUUCUUAAAUUUUCAACCAUCAAUUUUUUAUUCACUCAGCCUAAAAGUCCUGAUUAUCAGUUCUGGGUCCCUGGCAAUGACUGUUGGGUACAAACUGCAAAGCUUUGUUCUGCAGGUAGGGCUGGGCUUUUCAUUGACCAUGGGUUGGAAUAGUUCUGUGGGCAUAGUGUGACUUCGAAGCCACUAUGUUUUCUGCACUUGUGACUAGAGAGCACCUUGAUAGCUCAGUUGGUAGAGCGGUGGACUGUAAGAUGCUCCUUGUGUGAAACGCUGUGAUGCUAAGGUCGCUGGUUCAACUCCACCUCCAAGCACCUCCUUGUCAUUGGAAAUACCCCCAAGCCUUGUCUUUAUCUGUCAACUCCUCCAAAAUGUCGAAACACAAAAAAGAUAACUCUUUCUUGAAUUUUCAACCAUCAAUUUUUUAUUCACCCAGCCUAAAAGUCCUGAUUAUCAGUUCUGGGUCCCUGGCAAUGACUGUUGGGUACAAACUGCAAAGCUUUGUUCUGCAGGUAGGGCUGGGCUUUUCAUUGACCAUGGGUUGGAAUAGUUCUGUGGGCAUAGUGUGUCGUCGAAGCCACCAUGUUUUCUGCACUUGCGACUAGAGAGCACCUUGAUAGCUCAGUUGGUAGAGCGGUGGACUGUAAGAUGCUCCUUGUGUGAAACGCUGUGAUCCUAAGGUCGCUGGUUCAACUCCAGCUCCAAGCACCUCCUUGUCAUUGGAAAUACCCCCAAGCCUUGUCUUUAUCUGUCAACUCCUCCAAAAUGUCAAAACACAAAGAAGAUAACUCUUUCUUAAAUUUUCAACCAUCAAUGUUUUAUUCACCCAGCCUAAAAGUCCUGAUUAUCAGUUCUUGGUCCCUGGCAAUGACUGUUGGGUACAAACUGCAAAGCUUUGUUCUGCAGGUAGGGCUGGGCUUUUCAUUGACCAUGGGUUGGAAUAGUUCUGUGGGCAUAGUGUGUCUUCGAAGCCACUAUGUUUUCUGCACUUGUGACUAGAGAGCACCUUGAUAGCUCAGUUGGUAGAGCGGUGGACUGUAAGAUGCUCCUUGUGUGAAACGCUGUGAUGCUAAGGUCGCUGGUUCAACUCCACCUCCAAGCACCUCCUUGUCAUUGGAAAUACCCCCAAGCCUUGUCUUUAUCUGUCAACUCCUCCAAAAUGUCAAAACACAAAGAAGAUAACUCUUUCUUAAAUUUUCAACCAUCAAUUUUUUAUUCACCCAGCCUAAAAGUCCUGAUUAUCAGUUCUGGGUCCCUGGCAAUGACUGUUGGGUACAAACUGCACAGCUUUGUUCUGCAGGUAGGGCUGGGCUUUUCAUUGACCAUGGGUUGGAAUAGUUCUGUGGGCAUAGUGUGUCUUCGAAGCCACUGUGUUUUCUGCACUUGUGACUAGAGAGCACCUUGAUAGCUCAGUUGGUAGAGCGGUGGACUGUUAGAUGCUCCUUGUGUGAAAUGCUGUGAUCCUAAGGUCGCUGGUUCAACUCCAGCUCCAAGCACCUCCUUGUCAUUGGAAAUACCCCCAAGCCUUGUCUUUAUCUGUCAACUCCUCCAAAAUGUCAAAACACAAAGAAGAUAACUCUUUCUUAAAUUUUCAACCAUCAAUUUUUUAUUCACCCAGCCUAAAAGUCCUGAUUAUCAGUUCUGGGUCCCUGGCAAUGACUGUUGGGUACAAACUGCAAAGCUUUGUUCUGCAGGUAGGGCUGGGCUUUUCAUUGACCAUGGGUUGGAAUAGUUCUGUGGGCAUAGUGUGUCUUCGAAGCCACUCUGUUUUCUGCACUUGUGACUAGAGAGCACCUUGAUAGCUCAGUUGGUAGAGCGGUGGACUGUAAGAUGCUCCUUGUGUGAAACGCUGUGAUCCUAAGGUCGCUGGUUCAACUCCAGCUCCAAGCACCUCCUUGUCAUUGGAAAUACCCCCAAGCCUUGUCUUUAUCUGUCAACUCCUCCAAAAUGUCAAAACACAAACAAGAUAACUCUUUCUUAAAUUUUCAACCAUCAAUUUUUUAUUCACUCAGCCUAAAAGUCCUGAUUAUCAGUUCUGGGUCCCUGGCAAUGACUGUUGGGUACAAACUGCAAAGCUUUGUUCUGCAGGUAGGGCUGGGCUUUUCAUUGACCAUGGGUUGGAAUAGUUCUGUGGGCAUAGUGUGUCUUCGAAGCCACUAUGUUUUCUGCACUUGAGACUAGAGAGCACCUUGAUAGCUCAGUUCGUAGAGCGGUGGACUUUAAGAUCCUCUUUGUGUGAAACGCUGUGAUCCUAAGGUCGCUGGUUCAACUCCAGCUCCAAGCACCUCCUUGUCAUUGGAAAUACCCCCAAGCCUUGUCUUUAUCUGUCAACUCCUCCAAAAUGUCAAAACACAAAGAAGAUAACUCUUUCUUAAAUUUUCAACCAUCAAUUUUUUAUUCACCCAGACUAAAAGUCCUGAUUAUCAGUUCUGGGUCCCUGGCAAUGACUGUUGGGUACAAACUGCAAAGCUUUGUUCUGCAGGUAGGGCUGGGCUUUUCAUUGACCAUGGGUUGGAAUAGUUCUGUGGGCAUAGUGUGUCUUCGAAGCCACUAUGUUUUCUGCACUUGUGACUAGAGAGCACCUUGAUAGCUCAGUUGGUAGAGCGGUGGACUGUAAGAUGCUCCUUGUGUGAAACGCUGUGAUGCUAAGGUCGCUGGUUCAACUCCAGCUCCAAGCACCUCCUUGUCAUUGGAAAUACCCCCAAGCCUUGUCUUUAUCUGUCAACUCCUCCAAAAUGUCGAAACACAAAGAAGAUAACUCUUUCUUAAAUUUUCAACCAUCAAUUUUUUAUUCACCCAGCCUAAAAGUCCUGAUUAUCAGUUCUGGGUCCCUGGCAAUGACUGUUGGGUACAAACUGCAAAGCUUUGUUCUGCAGGUAGGGCUGGGCUUUUCAUUGACCAUGGGUUGGAAUAGUUCUGUGGGCAUAGUGUGUCUUCGAAGCCACUAUGUUUUCUGCACUUGUGACUAGAGAGCACCUUGAUAGCUCAGUUGGUAGAGCGGUGGACUGUAAGAUGCUCCUUGUGUGAAACGCUGUGAUGCUAAGGUCGCUGGUUCAACUCCAGCUCCAAGCACCUCCUUGUCAUUGGAAAUACCCCCAAGCCUUGUCUUUAUCUGUCAACUCCUCCAAAAUGUCAAAACACAAAGAAGAUAACUCUUUCUUAAAUUUUCAACCAUCAAUUUUUUAUUCACUCAGCCUAAAAGUCCUGAUUAUCAGUUCUGGGUCCCUGGCAAUGACUGUUGGGUACAAACUGCAAAGCUGUGUUCUGCAGGUAGGGCUGGGCUUUUCAUUGACCAUGGGUUGGAAUAGUUCUGUGGGCAUAGUGUGUCUUCGAAGCCACUAUGUUUUCUGCACUUGAGACUAGAGAGCACCUUGAUAGCUCAGUUGGUAGAGCGGUGGACUGUAAGAUGCUCCUUGUGUGAAAAGCUGUGAUCCUAAGGUCACUGGUUCAACUCCAGCUCCAAGCACCUCCUUGUCAUUGGAAAUACCCCCAACCCUUGUCUUUAUCUGUCAACUCCUCCAAAAUGUCAAAACACAAAGAAUAUAACUCUUUCUUAAAUUUUCAACCAUCAAUUUUUUAUUCACCCAGCCUAAAAGUCCUGAUUAUCAGUUCUGGGUCCCUGGCAAUGACUGUUGGGUACAAACUGCAAAGCUUUGUUCUGCAGGUAGGGCUGGGCUUUUCAUUGACCAUGGGUUGGAAUAGUUCUGUGGGCAUAGUGUGUCUUCGAAGCCACUAUGUUUUCUGCACUUGUGACUAGAGAGCACCUUGAUAGCUCAGUUGGUAGAGCGGUGGACUGUAAGAUGCUCCUUGUGUGAAACGCCGUGAUCCUAAGCUCGCUGGUUCAACUCCAGCUCCAAGCACCUCCUUUUCAUUGGAAAUACCCCCAAGCCUUGUCUUUAUCUGUCAACUCCUCCAAAAUGUCAAAACACAAAGAAGAUAACUCUUUCUUAAAUUUUCAACCAUCAAUUUUUUAUUCACUCAGCCUAAAAGUCCUGAUUAUCAGUUCUGGGUCCCUGGCAAUGACUGUUGGGUACAAACUGCAAAGCUUUGUUCUGCAGGUAGGGCUGGGCUUUUCAUUGACCAUGGGUUGGAAUAGUUCUGUGGGCAUAGUGUGACUUCGAAGCCACUAUGUUUUCUGCACUUGUGACUAGAGAGCACCUUGAUAGCUCAGUUGGUAGAGCGGUGGACUGUAAGAUGCUCCUUUUGUGAAACGCUGUGAUGCUAAGGUCGCUGGUUCAACUCCACCUCCAAGCACCUCCUUGUCAUUGGAAAUACCCCCAAGCCUUGUCUUUAUCUGUCAACUCCUCCAAAAUGUCGAAACACAAAAAAGAUAACUCUUUCUUGAAUUUUCAACCAUCAAUUUUUUAUUCACCCAGCCUAAAAGUCCUGAUUAUCAGUUCUGGGUCCCUGGCAAUGACUGUUGGGUACAAACUGCAAAGCUUUGUUCUGCAGGUAGGGCUGGGCUUUUCAUUGACCAUGGGUUGGAAUAGUUCUGUGGGCAAAGUGUGUCGUCGAAGCCACCAUGUUUUCUGCACUUCCGACUAGAGAGCACCUUGAUAGCUCAGUUGGUAGAGCGGUGGACUGUAAGAUGCUCCUUGUGUGAAACGCUGUGAUCCUAAGGUCGCUGGUUCAACUCCAGCUCCAAGCACCUCCUUGUCAUUGGAAAUACCCCCAAGCCUUGUCUUUAUCUGUCAACUCCUCCAAAAUGUCAAAACACAAAGAAGAUAACUCUUUCUUAAAUUUUCAACCAUCAAUUUUUUAUUCACCCAGCCUAAAAGUCCUGAUUAUCAGUUCUGGGUCCCUGGCAAUGACUGUUGGGUACAAACUGCAAAGCUUUGUUCUGCAGGUAGGGCUGGGCUUUUCAUUGACCAUGGGUUGGAAUAGUUCUGUGGGCAUAGUGUGUCUUCGAAGCCACUAUGUUUUCUGCACUUGUGACUAGAGAGCACCUUGAUAGCUCAGUUGGUAGAGCGGUGGACUGUAAGAUGCUCCUUGUGUGAAACGCUGUGAUCCUAAGGUCGCUGGUUCAACUCCAGCUCCAAGCACCUCCUUGUCAUUGGAAAUACCCCCAAGCCUUGUCUUUAUCUGUCAACUCCUCCAAAAUGUCAAAACACAAACAAGAUAACUCUUUCUUAAAUUUUCAACCAUCAAUUUUUUAUUCACUCAGCCUAAAAGUCCUGAUUAUCAGUUCUGGGUCCCUGGCAAUGACUGUUGGGUACAAACUGCAAAGCUUUGUUCUGCAGGUAGGGCUGGGCUUUUCAUUGACCAUGGGUUGGAAUAGUUCUGUGGGCAUAGUGUGUCUUCGAAGCCACUAUGUUUUCUGCACUUGAGACUAGAGAGCACCUUGAUAGCUCAGUUCGUAGAGCGGUGGACUUUAAGAUCCUCCUUGUGUGAAACGCUGUGAUCCUAAGGUCGCUGGUUCAACUCCAGCUCCAAGCACCUCCUUGUCAUUGGAAAUACCCCCAAGCCUUGUCUUUAUCUGUCAACUCCUCCAAAAUGUCAAAACACAAAGAAGAUAACUCUUUCUUAAAUUUUCAACCAUCAAUUUUUUAUUCACCCAGACUAAAAGUCCUGAUUAUCAGUUCUGGGUCCCUGGCAAUGACUGUUGGGUACAAACUGCAAAGCUUUGUUCUGCAGGUAGGGCUGGGCUUUUCAUUGACCAUGGGUUGGAAUAGUUCUGUGGGCAUAGUGUGUCGUCGAAGCCACUAUGUUUUCUGCACUUGUGACUAGAGAGCACCUUGAUAGCUCAGUUGGUAGAGCGGUGGACUGUAAGAUGCUCCUUGUGUGAAACGCUGUGAUGCUAAGGUCGCUGGUUCAACUCCAGCUCCAAGCACCUCCUUGUCAUUGGAAAUACCCCCAAGCCUUGUCUUUAUCUGUCAACUCCUCCAAAAUGUCGAAACACAAAGAAGAUAACUCUUUCUUAAAUUUUCAACCAUCAAUUUUUUAUUCACCCAGCCUAAAAGUCCUGAUUAUCAGUUCUGGGUCCCUGGCAAUGACUGUUGGGUACAAACUGCAAAGCUUUGUUCUGCAGGUAGGGCUGGGCUUUUCAUUGACCAUGGGUUGGAAUAGUUCUAUGGGCAUAGUGUGUCUUCGAAGCCACUAUGUUUUCUGCACUUGUGACUAGAGAGCACCUUGAUAGCUCAGUUGGUAGAGCGGUGGACUGUAAGAUGCUCCUUGUGUGAAACGCUGUGAUGCUAAGGUCGCUGGUUCAACUCCAGCUCCAAGCACCUCCUUGUCAUUGGAAAUACCCCCAAGCCUUGUCUUUAUCUGUCAACUCAUCCAAAAUGUCAAAACACAAACAAGAUAACUCUUUCUAAAAUUUUCAACCAUCAAUUUUUUAUUCACCCAGCCUAAAAGUCCUGAUUAUCAGUUCUGGGUCCCUGGCAAUGACUGUUGGGUACAAACUGCAAAGCUUUGUUCUGCAGGUAGGGCUGGGCUUUUCAUUGACCAUGGGUUGGAAUAGUUCUGUGGGCAUAGUGUGUCUUCGAAGCCACCAUGUUUUCUGCACUUGUGACUAGAGAGCACCUUGAUAGCUCAGUUGGUAGAGCUGUGGACUGUAAGAUGCUCCUUGUGUGAAACGCUGUGAUGCUAAGGUCGCUGGUUCAACUCCACCUCCAAGCACCUCCUUGUCAUUGGAAAUACCCCCAAGCCUUGUCUUUAUCUGUCAACUCCUCCAAAAUGUCGAAACACAAAGAAGAUAACUCUUUCUUGAAUUUUCAACCAUCAAUUUUUUAUUCACCCAGCCUAAAAGUCCUGAUUAUCAGUUCUGGGUCCCUGGUAAUGACUGUUGGGUACAAACUGCAAAGCUUUGUUUUGCAGGUAGGGCUGGGCUUUUCAUUGACCAUGGUUUGGAAUAGUUCUGUGGGCAUAGUGUGUCUUCGAAGCCACUAUGUUUUCUGCACUUGUGACUAGAGAGCACCUUGAUAGCUCAGUUGUUAGAGCGGUGGACUGUAAGAUGCUCCUUGUGUGAAACGCUGUGAUGCUAAGGUAGCUGGUUCAACUCCACCUCCAAGCACCUCCUUGUCAUUGGAAAUACCCCCAAGCCUUGUCUUUAUCUGUCAACUCCUCCAAAAUGUCGAAACACAAAAAAGAUAACUCUUUCUUGAAUUUUCAACCAUCAAUUUUUUAUUCACCCAGCCUAAAAGUCCUGAUUAUCAGUUCUGGGUCCCUGGCAAUGACUAUUGGGUACAAACUGCAAAGCUUUGUUCUGCAGGUAGGGCUGGGCUUUUCAUUGACCAUGGGUUGGAAUAGUUCUGUGGGCAUAGUGUGUCGUCGAAGCCACCAUGUUUUCUGCACUUGCGACUAGAGAGCACCUUGAUAGCUCAGUUGGUAGAGCGGUGUACUGUAAGAUGCUCCUUGUGUGAAACGCUGUGAUCCUAAGGUCGCUGGUUCAACUCCAGCUCCAAGCACCUCCUUGUCAUUGGAAAUACCCCCAAGCCUUGUCUUUAUCUGUCAACUCCUCCAAAAUCUCAAAACACAAAGAAGAUAACUCUUUCUUUAAUUUUCAACCAUCAAUGUUUUAUUCACCCAGCCUAAAAGUCCUGAUUAUCAGUUCUGGGUCCCUGGCAAUGACUGUUGGGUACAAACUGCAAAGCUUUGUUCUGCAGGUAGGGCUGGGCUUUUCAUUGACCAUGGGUUGGAAUAGUUCUGUGGGCAUAGUGUGUCUUCGAAGCCACUAUGUUUUCUGCACUUGUGACUAGAGAGCACCUUGAUAGCUCAGUUGGUAGAGCGGUGGACUGUAAGAUGCUCCUUGUGUGAAACGCCGUGAUCCUAAGGUCGCUGGUUCAACUCCAGCUCCAAGCACCUCCUUGUCAUUGGAAAUACCCCCAAGCCUUGUCUUUAUCUGUCAACUCCUCCAAAAUGUCAAAACACAAACAAGAUAACUCUUUCUUAAAUUUUCAACCAUCAAUUUUUUAUUCACCCACCCUAAAAGUCCUGAUUAUCAGUUCUGGGUCCCUGGCAAUGACUGUUGGGUACAAACUGCAAAGCUUUGUUCUGCAGGUAGGGCUGGGCUUUUCAUUGACCAUGGGUUGGAAUAGUUCUGUGGGCAUAGUGUGUCUUCGAAGCCACUAUGUUUUCUGCACUUGUGACUAGAGAGCACCUUGAUAGCUCAGUUGGUAGCGCGGUGGACUGUUAGAUGCUCCUUGUGUGAAAUGCUGUGAUCCUAAGGUCCCUGGUUCAACUCCAGCUCCAAGCACCUCCUUGUCAUUGGAAAUACCCCCAAGCCUUGUCUUUAUCUGUCAACUCCUCCAAAAUGUCAAAACACAAAGAAGAUAACUCUUUCUUAAAUUUUCAACCAUCAAUUUUUUAUUCACCCAGCCUAAAAGUCCUGAUUAUCAGUUCUGGGUCCCUGGCAAUGACUGUUGGGUACAAACUGCAAAGCUUUGUUCUGCAGGUAGGGCUGGGCUUUUCAUUGACCAUGGGUUGGAAUAGUUCUGUGGGCAUAGUGUGUCUUCGAAGCCACUAUGUUUUCUGCACUUGUGACUAGAGAGCACCUUGAUAGCUCAGUUGGUAGAGCGGUGGACUGUAAGAUGCUCCUUGUUUGAAAAGCUGUGAUCCUAAGGUCGCUGGUUCAACUCCAGCUCCAAGCACCUCCAUGUCAUUGGAAAUACCCCCAAGCCUUGUCUUUAUCUGUCAACUCCUCCAAAAUGUCAAAACACAAACAAGAUAACUCUUUCUUAAAUUUUCAACCAUCAAUUUUUUAUUCACUCAGCCUAAAAGUCCUGAUUAUCAGUUCUGGGUCCCUGGCAAUGACUGUUGGGUACAAACUGCAAAGCUGUGUUCUGCAGGUAGGGCUGGGCUUUUCAUUGACCAUGGGUUGGAAUAGUUCUGUGGGCAUAGUGUGUCUUCGAAGCCACUAUGUUUUCUGCACUUGUGACUAGAGAGCACCUUGAUAGCUCAGUUGGUAGAGCGGUGGACUGUAAGAUGCUCCUUGUGUGAAAAGCUGUGAUCCUAAGGUCGCUGGUUCAACUCCAGCUCCAAGCACCUCCUUGUCAUUGGAAAUACCCCCAACCCUUGUCUUUAUCUGUCAACUCCUCCAAAAUGUCAAAACACAAAGAAUAUAACUCUUUCUUAAAUUUUCAACCAUCAAUUUUUUAUUCACCCAGCCUAAAAGUCCUGAUUAUCAGUUCUGGGUCCCUGGCAAUGACUGUUGGGUACAAACUGCAAAGCUUUGUUCUGCAGGUAGGGCUGGGCUUUUCAUUGACCAUGGGUUGGAAUAGUUCUGUGGGCAUAGUGUGUCUUCGAAGCCACUAUGUUUUCUGCACUUGUGACUAGAGAGCACCUUGAUAGCUCAGUUGGUAGAGCGGUGGACUGUAAGAUGCUCCUUGUGUGAAACGCCGUGAUCCUAAGCUCGCUGGUUCAACUCCAGCUCCAAGCACCUCCUUGUCAUUGGAAAUACCCCCAAGCCUUGUCUUUAUCUGUCAACUCCUCCAAAAUGUCAAAACACAAAGAAGAUAACUCUUUCUUAAAUUUUCAACCAUCAAUUUUUUAUUCACUCAGCCUAAAAGUCCUGAUUAUCAGUUCUGGGUCCCUGGCAAUGACUGUUGGGUACAAACUGCAAAGCUUUGUUCUGCAGGUAGGGCUGGGCUUUUCAUUGACCAUGGGUUGGAAUAGUUCUGUGGGCAUAGUGUGACUUCGAAGCCACUAUGUUUUCUGCACUUGUGACUAGAGAGCACCUUGAUAGCUCAGUUGGUAGAGCGGUGGACUGUAAGAUGCUCCUUGUGUGAAACGCUGUGAUCCUAAGGUCGCUGGUUCAACUCCACCUCCAAGCACCUCCUUGUCAUUGGAAAUACCCCCAAGCCUUGUCUUUAUCUGUCAACUCCUCCAAAAUGUCAAAACACAAAGAAGAUUACUCUUUCUUAAAUUUUCAACCAUCAAUUUUUUAUUCACUCAGCCUAAAAGUCCUGAUUAUCAGUUCUGGGUCCCUGGCAAUGACUGUUGGGUACAAACUGCAAAGCUUUGUUCUGCAGGUAGGGCUGGGCUUUUCAUUGACCAUGGGUUGGAAUAGUUCUGUGGGCAUAGUGUGUCUUCGAAGCCACUAUGUUUUCUGCACUUGUGACUAGAGAGCACCUUGAUAGCUCAGUUGGUAGAGCGGUGGACUGUAAGAUGCUCCUUGUGUGAAACGCUGUGAUCCUAAGGUCGCUGGUUCAACUCCAGCUCCAAGCACCUCCUUGUCAUUGGAAAUACCCCCAAGCCUUGUCUUUAUCUGUCAACUCCUCCAAAAUGUCAAAACACAAAGAAGAUAACUCUUUCUUAAAUUUUCAACCAUCAAUUUUUUAUUCACUCAGCCUAAAAGUCCUGAUUAUCAGUUCUGGGUCCCUGGCAAUGACUGUUGGGUACAAACUGCAAAGCUUUGUUCUGCAGGUAGGGCUGGGCUUUUCAUUGACCAUGGGUUGGAAUAGUUCUGUGGGCAUAGUGUGUCUUCGAAGCCACUAUGUUUUCUGCACUUGUGACUAGAGAGCACCUUGAUAGCUCAGUUGGUAGAGCGGUGGACUGUAAGAUGCUCCUUGUGUGAAACGCUGUGAUCCUAAGGUCGCUGGUUCAACUCCAGCUCCAAGCACCUCCUUGUCAUUGGAAAUACCCCCAAGCCUUGUCUUUAUCUGUCAACUCCUCCAAAAUGUCAAAACACAAACAAGAUAACUCUUUCUUAAAUUUUCAACCAUCAAUUUUUUAUUCACUCAGCCUAAAAGUCCUGAUUAUCAGUUCUGGGUCUCUGGCAAUGACUGUUGGGUACAAACUGCAAAGCUUUGUUCUGCAGGUAGGGCUGGGCUUUUCAUUGACCAUGGGUUGGAAUAGUUCUGUGGGCAUAGUGUGUCUUCGAAGCCACUAUGUUUUCUGCACUUGUGACUAGAGAGCACCUUGAUAGCUCAGUUGGUAGAGCGGUGGACUGUAAGAUGCUCCUUGUGUGAAACGCCGUGAUCCUAAGGUCGCUGGUUCAACUCCAGCUCCAAGCACCUCCUUGUCAUUGGAAAUACCCCCAAGCCUUGUCUUUAUCUGUCAACUCCUCCAAAAUGUCAAAACACAAAGAAGAUAACUCUUUCUUAAAUUUUCAACCAUCAAUUUUUUAUUCACUCAGCCUAAAAGUCCUGAUUAUCAGUUCUGGGUCCCUGGCAAUGACUGUUGGGUACAAACUGCAAAGCUUUGUUCUGCAGGUAGGGCUGGGCUUUUCAUUGACCAUGGGUUGGAAUAGUUCUGUGGGCAUAGUGUGUCUUCAAAGCCACUAUGUUUUCUGCACUUGUGACUAGAGAGCACCUUGAUAGCUCAGUUGGUAGAGCGGUGGACUGUAAGAUGCUCCUUGUGUGAAACGCCGUGAUCCUAAGCUCGCUGGUUCAACUCCAGCUCCAAGCACCUCCUUGUCAUUGGAAAUACCCCCAAGCCUUGUCUUUAUCUGUCAACUCCUCCAAAAUGUCAAAACACAAAGAACAUAACUCUUUCUUAAAUUUUCAACCAUCAAUUUUUUAUUCACCCAGCCUAAAAGUCCUGAUUAUCAGUUCUGGGUCCCGGGCAAUGACUGUUGGGUACAAACUGCAAAGCUUUGUUCUGCAGGUAGGGCUGGGCUUUUCAUUGACCAUGGGUUGGAAUAGUUCUGUGGGCAUAGUGUGUCUUCGAAGCCACUAUGUUUUCUGCACUUGUGACUAGAGAGCACCUUGAUAGCUCAGUUGGUAGAGCGGUGGACUGUAAGAUGCUCCUUGUGUGAAACGCCGUGAUCCUAAGGUCGCUGGUUCAACUCCAGCUCCAAGCACCUCCUUGUCAUUGGAAAUACCCCCAAGCCUUGUCUUUAUCUGUCAACUCCUCCAAAAUGUCAAAACACAAAGAAGAUUACUCUUUCUUAAAUUUUCAACCAUCAAUUUUUUAUUCACCCAGCCUAAAAGUCCUGAUUAUCAGUUCUGGGUCCCUGGCAAUGACUGUUGGGUACAAACUGCAAAGCUUUGUUCUGCAGGUAGGACUGGGCUUUUCAUUGACCAUGGGUUGGAAUAGUUCUGUGGGCAUAGUGUGUCUUCGAAGCCACUAUGUUUUCUGCACUUGUGACUAGAGAGCACCUUGAUAGCUCAGUUGGUAGAGCGGUGGACUGUAAGAUGCUCCUUGUGUGAAACGCUGUGAUCCUAAGGUCGCUGGUUCAACUCCAGCUCCAAGCACCUCCUUGUCAUUGGAAAUACCCCCAAGCCUUGUCUUUAUCUGUCAACUCCUCCAAAAUGUCAAAACACAAACAAGAUAACUCUUUCUUAAAUUUUCAACCAUCAAUUUUUUAUUCACCCAGCCUAAAAGUCCUGAUUAUCAGUUCUGGGUCCCGGGCAAUGACUGUUGGGUACAAACUGCAAAGCUUUGUUCUGCAGGUAGGGCUGGGCUUUUCAUUGACCAUGGGUUGGAAUAGUUCUGUGGGCAUAGUGUGUCUUCGAAGCCACUAUGUUUUCUGCACUUGUGACUAGAGAGCACCUUGAUAGCUCAGUUGGUAGAGCGGUGGACUGUAAGAUGCUCCUUGUGUGAAACGCCGUGAUCCUAAGGUCGCUGGUUCAACUCCAGCUCCAAGCACCUCCUUGUCAUUGGAAAUACCCCCAAGCCUUGUCUUUAACUGUCAACUCCUCCAAAAUGUCAAAACACAAAGAAGAUAACUCUUUCUUAAAUUUUCAACCAUCAAUUUUUUAUUCACCCAGCCUAAAAGUCCUGAUUAUCAGUUCUGGGUCCCUGGCAAUGACUGUUGGGUACAAACUGCAAAGCUUUGUUCUGCAGGUAGGGCUGGGCUUUUCAUUGACCAUGGGUUGGAAUAGUUCUGUGGGCAUAGUGUGUCUUCGAAGCCACUAUGUUUUCUGCACUUGUAACUAGAGCGCACCUUGAUAGCUCAGUUGGUAGAGCGGUGGACUGUAAGAUGCUCCUUGUGUGAAACGCUGUGAUCCUAAGGUCGCUGGUUCAACUCCAGCUCCAAGCACCUCCUUGUCAUUGGAAAUACCCC
rnacentral:lncRNA from 1 species